GUCAGUUUGAACCAAAGUCUGAGACUCGAGUCGACUCCGGGAUAUUACGAGUCGACUCCAAGCGUAUCAGAAUCCCUGGCAUGGGCUCGAGUCGACUCCGGAUCAUUACGAGUCGACUCCGACUGAGAACAGACAGACGAACAGAAAGACUCAACUCAAAACCUGUCAGCGAGUCGACUCCUGAAGUGCGCGAGUCGACUCCGAUGCUUACAGAGUCGACUCUGGAGUAGUAUGAGUCGACUCCAAGGAGUUACAGACAGAAAAGUCAGAGAGCGAUUUUCGACCCUGAGAUUCGAGUC
rnacentral:lncRNA from 1 species